rnacentral:tRNA from 1 species
GGGCGUGUAGCUCAGUGGUAGAGCGCAUCACUGAUAAUGAUGAGGUCCCAGGUCCGAUCCCUGGCACGCCCA